rnacentral:misc_RNA from 1 species
GGAUUCUUCUAAAGCUCUUUCAAUGGAGCGCGAAUCGGCUUCAAUGUGGGAAUUGAGCUUUGUUGUUCCUCCAAAUCACGAAACUUUGGAUUUCAAGUUCUUGUUGAAGCCAAAGUACAGCAACAGUCCUUGCGUGGUUGAGGAUGGCCCAAAUCGGCUUCUUUCUAGGGGAACAUUGCAAGGGGAAUCUAGACUGGCUGUCUUUAGGAAUGGUGAUGAGGUUCAUGAAUAUAGAGUGUUCAUUAAAGCAGACAGAGUUUCACCCU